rnacentral:lncRNA from 1 species
CCUUAAAAGAAAAAAAAAGAAAAAAAACAUGGCGCCAAGCGGCCGACGUCGAGAGUAUUGUGCAGCAGCAAGCAUAACUGUUGCUGAAUUGUGC